AAUGAGCGCCCUGCGCCCGCUGCUACAUCCAACAAGAGACUUCAAGAUAAAAAAAAAAGAUGACUGUGCUGUGUGAAAGAAAGAAAAUGACCAGAGAAGAAUUAUUAUCUAUGAGACCCUAUAUACUGGCGUGGAGAAAAAAGGAAAACCAGAAGGAACUAGAGUUAUUGCGAAAAAUACACAAUACAGAAAAAGUAAAAGAAAUAAAAGCAAAGGAAGUCAACAUAGAUUUUAAAAAGGGACGCGAACAAAUGAAGAAGGAUGAAAAGGAACUUGCAGACGUGAUUGAUAGACUUAAUGAAUGUCAGGAACGAUUAAAUCAUCUACACAAAGAAAAACACAAAAUAUUUACCGAAAUGAAAAGUGUUUUAAAUAAGAAAAACCAGCCCAUCUGAAUAUUAGAUGACUGUUAUAAUGAAAACAUUAUAGAUCUCUUGAGGCAAGAAUUCUAUACCAGAGGCGUGCUAUAGUUUCUGGUAAAUCAAAAGGGGCCGUGAAACUGAUAUCAACAAAAAUUAUAUUCUUAAAGUGCAGGAUACCAAAAAAACUACUCACGCUGACUGUUGUACUUUUUCGUAUGAGAAUAAAUUGUGGUGCUUAAUAUAUAUGCUGUUUGUAUACUGUUGGCUAUACGAUUUUCAACAGGUUUAUUGGUUGUAAUUUUAAAUUUUUGAACCCAGACAACUGGGAAGACAGUUGAAAGCAUUUUAUUUACUUUUUCAUUCUCACGCGAAAAGUGUAAAUUUUUUAAAUGUGUAAAUUCUAAAAAUAGUUUUUAUAUAUUUUAUCUAUAUUAUAAUACCCGUAUACGUCUUAAUAUAUAUGCUGUUUAUAUACUGUUGGCAAACGAUUUUCAACAGGUUUAUUGGUUUAUUAGUUUUAAAUUUUAAAUUUUUGAACCCAGACAACUGGGAAGACAGUUGAAAGCAUUUUAUUUACUUUUUUAAACUCACGCGAAAAAUGUAUAUUUUUUAAAUGUGUAAAUUCUAAA